rnacentral:rRNA from 1 species
AAAGUAUUGGCAGUCCGGUGCGGCUUUGAGCGUAGUAAAAUCUCUCCCGCUCUGGAAGCUCGUGCUAUGGCUGGCCAGAAGCGCCACCUCUCGAAUUGAC